rnacentral:rRNA from 1 species
UACGAAGGGGGCUAGCGUUGCUCGGAAUCACUGGGCGUAAAGGGUGCGUAGGCGGGUUUUUAAGUCAGGGGUGAAAUCCUGGAGCUCAACUCCAGAACUGCCUUUGAUACUGAAGAUCUUGAGUUCGGGAGAGGUGAGUGGAACUGCGAGUGUAGAGGUGAAAUUCGUAGAUAUUCGCAAGAACACCAGUGGCGAAGGCGGCUCACUGGCCCGAUACUGACGCUGAGGCACGAAAGCGUGGGGAGCGAACAGG